rnacentral:rRNA from 1 species
AGAUUUCCCACCGCAAGGGUAAGACCCCAGAAAGACUAUCUGGUUGAUAGGUCGAAGGUGUAAGUGCAGCAAUGUAUUUAGCUUAUCGAUACUAAUAGGUCGAGGACUUGACCAAUAUCAUU